CUCCUAACCACUGCCUCUCUGUGCUGUCUUCCCCCACAACAUCCCUUACUCUCACCUCCCCAGGACAGCUGAGAGCCCAGUGAAACAGGCUUCUGCCACCAGAAAUAUCCUGGGGCCCAUUUUAAAAAUCAAGCUUAAAACAAAACUUCAGCAAGAUGAUGACAGAGGGUAUAUGAAGAGAUGAAAUGAAAGGCAAGUGGAGAAGGUACAGAAGCUUGGUAGGAUGGAGAGUCUGGCAUCAAAGAUGUUCCCAUCAAGAGAGAAACAUUUAAAAGAACAAACCACAACAUAGGAGCAAUGUAAAAAAGCAAGAUACGAAGGGAAGCUGUGUAGUUGUCUGCAAGUGAAGGUGGUUGUUCUGAAAUACCAGUGGUAAUUAUAAAACUGUUUUUUUUUGUUGUUGUUGUUGUUGUUUGUUUUUUGUUGUUGUUGUUGUUGUUUUUUUCAGUGCACAAAUGAUAACAAAGCUGCAAGGCUCAGAAACUCAGUUCAGUGAUGUUCAGAAAUGCACUCCUGCUUCGUUUCUUCCCCAAAAUCUCUUGAAGUUGGCUGCUCUGCAGGUGAUUUCUCCACAGCAGAGACUGGAGACUGACUCACAAGAAGGACAGAUAGUAUAGGAGUUACAUUGUUGUUCAUCAGCCAUCGUUUCAGUGUGUUAGUUUAAGAUUUAACUAAAAAAUAAUUUAUUGCUAUUCUCCCCUUAGUGUUGAAAAAGAUCUUGUAUCACUAGGGUCCAGGAACGUGUAAACAGUUUCUUCAUGGGUGAACUUGCCUAAGGGAGUAAAUGUAUUUUUGCUGGGCUAAUGGUUGUAUCUGGGGAGAAAGUCACAUAGCCCACGGAUAUUAUUUCUCUCUCUUUUUUUUUUUUUUUUUUUUUUGUCAGUUACGGGAAAAAGAUAUACGUGGGUCACUGAGAGCAAAAAUUAAAGGUCAUGCAAAUUGAGCCCCAGUCAUGCUUGCUUUUCUUCACUACUAUUCUGCUCCCAUUGAAAGAGCGAUGAGAUCUCACCUAUAAGAGUAGGCACCAAGAGAGAAAAGCUUCUCUUGCUUUUAUGGACACAGCAACAAAGCACAGGAAAUCUUUGAGUUUCAGGGUUUACCACUCAGCACCAGGGCUUCACGCAUGGUCCCCAGUCAGUGAAGCUGAAAGAGUUCAGCAGAGAUUAAGUGGAUGCUCUCUGAAUUAGAAUAGAAAUGAAUUAGAAUAGAAAACCCUUUCGGUCUGUCAAAGAAGCACUUUUGUCUUUCAGUCAAGACAAAGUAUUAAUACAAUUAAAGAAGAGAGUUAAUGUGUUGCUAGAGAACAUUAAUAAAUAUUAAAAAUAUGUACAUGUAUGGAUCUUCUGAUUAUUUUCACUUUUAUUAAUACCAGUUUAUUUUUAGUUAACUAUGUCAGACUAUGUCUAUCUGUCUGGUUCCUUUGCAUGUCUUUGCCCAACUCCAUUUCCCUUGCACAUAAUCAGAGCUAUCUCAUUUCUUACAUUGGUUCAUGAAACAGAAGUUGGAAGUACUGCUAAAGGGAUCCAUCAAAGAGAUUUAAUCCUUGUAGGAACUGGAUCUGAAUUUAGACUUUUGAAAUGUUUGGAGUUAUACUGAUGUCAGUCAGAUAUCUGAGCCAUAAUUUCUGGACAUAUCAAUCAGAUAGUCUUUCCUCUGCAAAUUAUACAAUUUAUAAGUGAUGUCAAAUUAAAAAAAAAAAAAAUCAAAAAUAUAAAUAAUCAUUCAUUUAAAAAUCAGUGAAUUUACAGGCAAGUUUUUACUUUUUUUGU